CAGGUUCUCUGCUGUUAGACCAGAUUCUCGUCUGUUCAAACUUCGUGAACAUCGCAGAGUCUGAAAUUCCUCCGUAUGUGGGCUACGGGUUCGAAACUCUCCGCUACCCCGCUGGGUUGAGACUGGCGACACGUGCGUCAUGGCAAACUAGAGGCCCAUAGGUUCUCCGCUGUACUCCUGCUGGCCGCGUAGCCGGUCUGACGAACGCUUACCUCGACCAGGGAGUUUGUCCAGACUUCCAGAACAUCGCUGCGUUCGUAAUUCCACCAUACCUGGGUCGUUGGUUCGAAGCUCACAGAUACCCAGCCGGUUGAAAAGAAGGCAACACGUGCGUCACAGCAGACUACGGUGCCAUCGACGACACGGCGAUCUCGGUUACGAACAACGCCAACCUCCCCGACGGGACGCUUGACACAAUCAACGGCACGGGCACCGCUACGGGCGUCCCAGGGCAGCUUGUGGUCCAGUUCCCCGGUGAACCCGUGGGUUUCUACAACGUCCUGGCCACCGACUACGCGACCUACAGCAGCGUCUACAGCUGU